rnacentral:rRNA from 1 species
GACAGAGGCCUCGAGCGUUAGGCGGAAUCACUGGGCUUAAAGCGUGUGUAGGCGGAUGCCUAAGUACCUUGUGAAAUCCCACGGCUUAACCGUGGAACUGCUCGGUAUACUGGGUGUCUUGAGCCACUUAGGGGCUACCGGAACAAAUGGUGGAGCGGUGAAAUGCGUAGAUAUCAUUUGGAACGCCAAUGGUGAAAACAGGUAGCUGGGAGUGUGCUGACGCUGAGACACGAAAGCCAGGGGAGCGAACGGG